rnacentral:rRNA from 1 species
UACGUAGGUGGCGAGCGUUGUCCGGAAUUACUGGGUGUAAAGGGCGUGUAGGCGGGAAUGCAAGUCAGAUGUGAAACUCCGGGGCUUAACUUCGGAACUGCAUCUGAAACUGUGUUUCUUGAGUGCUGGAGAGGAAAGCGGUAUUCCUAGUGUAGCGGUGAAAUGCGUAGAUAUUAGGAGGAACACCAGUGGCGAAGGCGGCUUUCUGGACAGUAACUGACGCUGAGGCGCGAAAGCGUGGGGAGCAAACAGG